AUUGAACGCUGGCGGCAGGCUUAACACAUGCAAGUCGAGCGAGCGGCGGACGGGUGAGUAAUGUCUGGGAAACUGCCUGAUGGAGGGGGAUAACUACUGGAAGCGGUAGCUAAUACUGCAUACCAUCAGAUGUGCCCCGAUGGGGUUAGCUAGUAGGUGGGGUAACGGCUCACCUAGGCGACGAUCCCUAGCUGGUCUGAGAGGAUGACCAGCCACACUGGAACUGAGACACGGUCCAGACGCCUACGGGAGGCAGCAGUGGGGAAUAUUGCACAAUGGGCGCAAGCCUGAUGCAGCCAUGCCGCGUGUGUGAAGAAGGCCUUCGGGUUGUAAAGCACUUUCAGCGGGGAGGCGUUACCCGCAGAAGAAGCACCGGCUAACUCCGUGCCAGCCGCCGCGGUAAUUC
rnacentral:rRNA from 1 species